GUGUACUGUGUCGAUGUAAUUAUACACACUGAUAUAUUAAAUAUAAAUUUCUUAUAUCAGCGGAUCAUUUUCAAAUAGUCAUGCUGUGUAAUAGUAACACUGUGAAAACGUGUUUAAAAUAUUUAUAAAAAAUGAAUUGCAUUCUUGCUUACGUGUUUAUUGCUGCGAGUCAGAGUAAAGGUAGCCUGUCUUUCUUGAUGGACGGUCAACCUGGAAAUCUCCAAGAAGUUACACAUGAGCUGUUCAAGUUGCAGACAGAAGUUGCAAUCCUGAAAGACAUGGUGGCAAAUUUACAAGAAUCGUGUCCUUCGUGUGCCGUAUCCACUAGGCAACCGGCUCCAGCAUUUUCGGCAAUUCUGACUUCUGAAAGCAUAACAUGUUCUACCGAUGCCCCGAUAGUUUUCAACAAGGAACUACUCGAUACAAGAAUGGCAUACGAUGUUCGUCAUGGAACAUUCCGUGCACCAGUGUAAGAUUAUUAUAAAAAUAAAAUGUGAAUGCUGAACACAAUAUAAACACAUGAAAAUACUAACAAUUGAGUGUACUAUGCUUGUUAUAUGUUGUUUGUUAACAAUGGAUGAAUCAAAUAUAGCGAUGCCUAUAUAUGUAUUCCAUGUCAAUUAUAACUUGAAAUUAGGACACUCUCACUCUCCAGUGAUAAGUGAUUUAUUAAUUGAUGUAUGUAAUUUGAUCAUUGUAAUUAUUUAUAUUCAGCACGCAUGUCUGUAAAUUUAUCAUGUAUUUGUAUAUGACGAUAAGCUUGUUAUGAUUAAGUCAAAAUAAAUAUUAUUUUCUGUUC